GCGGUUAUACAGGUAAUGCUACAAUAAAUGUUUGGUUUUAAUUAAUGAUAAUAAUUGAAUUUAAAUUUUAUUUUAUUAGGUGAAAUUUUAAAUUAAUAUUAAAUUUUAUUUUUGUUUAUGAGGUUAGUAAAUUUAAAAUUUAAACUAGGAUUAGAUACCCUAUUAUUUUAAAUUAAUUUUUUUUGCCUGGUUAGUAGUAGUUAUGUUCUUGAAAAUUAAAGAAGAUGGCGGUAUUUUAGUCUAUUCAGAGGAACCUGUCCUAUAAUCGAUGAUCCACGAUUUAUUUUACUUAUUUUUUAAGUUUGCAUAUCGCCGUAGGUUGAAUAUUCUUAAAGGAGUUUUAACAUUCAAGAGGUUUUUUUUAUAAAAGUAAAUCAGGUCAAGAUGUAGCUGAUAAAUAAGAAGAGAUGGGUUACAAUAAAAUUAUUUAUAACGGAUUAAUAUAUGAAAUUUAUUAUGAAGGAGGAUUUGAGGGUAAUUUUAUAAAAAUUUAUAAGAUGAUUAUAGCUCUAAAAUAUGUAC
rnacentral:rRNA from 1 species